GGCGGCAUGGCCAAGUGGUAAGGCGGGGGACUGCAAAUCCUUUAUCCCCAGUUCAAAUCCGGGUGUCGCCUGCUAAACAA
rnacentral:tRNA from 1 species